rnacentral:rRNA from 1 species
AACGCGAAGAAACUUACCUAGGCUUGACAUGUACGUGGUACGAGCGUGAAAGCGUGAGGACCCGCAAGGGAGCGUACACAGAUGCUGCAUGGCUGUCGUCAGCUCGUGCCGUGAGGUGUUGGGUUAAGUCCCGCAACGAGCGCAACCCUCGCUGCCAGUUACCAUGUCUGGCGGGACCGCCGGGUCCAACCCGGAGGAAGGUGGGGAUGACGUCAAGUCAGCACGGCUCUUACGUCCAGGGCUACACACACGCUACAAUGGCCGGUACAACGCGCAGCGAUGGGGCGACCCGGAGCGAAUCGCAUCAAAGCCGGUCUCAGUUGGGAUUGCAGGCUGCAACUCGCCUGCAUGAACGCGGAGUUGCUAGUAACCGCAGGU